GGCUCAGGAGGAACGCUAGCGGGAGGCCUAACACAUGCAAGCCGAGCGGUAGAGAUUCUUCGGAAUCUUGAGAGCGGCGUACGGGUGUGGAACACGUGUGCAACCUGCCUUUAUCAGGGGGAUAGCCUUUCGAAAGGAAGAUUAAUACCCCAUAAUAUUUUGAAUGGCAUCAUUUAAAAUUGAAAACUCCGGUGGAUAGAGAUGGGCACGCGCAAGAUUAGAUAGUUGGUAGGGUAACGGCCUACCAAGUCAAUGAUCUUUAGGGGGCCUGAGAGGGUGAUCCCCCACACUGGUACUGAGACACGGACCAGACUCCUACGGGAGGCAGCAGUGAGGAAUAUUGGACAAUGGGUGAGAGCCUGAUCCAGCCAUCCCGCGUGAAGGACGACGGCCCUAUGGGUUGUAAACUUCUUUUGUAUAGGGAUAAACCUUUCCACGUGUGGAAAGCUGAAGGUACUAUACGAAUAAGCACCGGCUAACUCCGUGCCAGCAGCCGCGGUAAUACGGAGGGUGCAAGCGUUAUCCGGAUUUAUUGGGUUUAAAGGGUCCGUAGGCGGAUCUGUAAGUCAGUGGUGAAAUCUCAUAGCUUAACUAUGAAACUGCCAUUGAUACUGCAGGUCUUGAGUAAGGUAGAAGUGGCUGGAAUAAGUAGUGUAGCGGUGAAAUGCAUAGAUAUUACUUAGAACACCAAUUGCGAAGGCAGGUCACUAUGUCUUAACUGACGCUGAUGGACGAAAGCGUGGGGAGCGAACAGGAUUAGAUACCCUGGUAGUCCACGCCGUAAACGAUGCUAACUCGUUUUUGGGUUUUCGGAUUCAGAGACUAAGCGAAAGUGAUAAGUUAGCCACCUGGGGAGUACGUUCGCAAGAAUGAAACUCAAAUGAACUGACGGAAGGGGG
rnacentral:rRNA from 1 species